AUUGAUUGCUUCAUACAAUCGAACUGCUGGGUGAUAAUCCAGCCAGAACCUUGAAAACUGCAUAGUAACGCGAAAAAAAAGCAGGCAGACGGAUUAGAGUCCUGAUUGCUUCUUGACUGAGUGCUGAGUGAAAUCAGUGCCUAGAAGGAAGUAAACAGAACGAAAAAAAGUUUGCAGAAACACCAAUGUAAAUGUGGUCAAGCUAAUAAGGGCUUACGGUGGAUACCUAGGCACACAGAGGCGAAGAAGGACGUGGUUACCGACGAUAUACUCCGGGGAGUUGGAAGCAAACAUUGAGCCGGAGGUUUCCGAAUGGGGCAACCCUAAAUACUACCUGUUGAAUAUAUAGACAGGAAAGAGCCAACCCAGCGAACUGAAACAUCUUAGUAGCUGGAGGAAGAGAAAUCAAAAGAGAUUCCCUGAGUAGUGGUGAGCGAAAGGGGAAAAGCCUAAACCAAAGGAUUUAUCCUUUGGGGUAGUGGGACAGCGAUAUCGAAUCUGGCGGUUAGACGAAGCAGCUAAAUACUGCACCAAAGAAGGUGAAAGUCCUGUAGUCGAAAACUCAAGGAUAGUAGCUGAAUCCCGAGUAGCAUGGGGCACGAGGAAUCCCAUGUGAAUCAGCGAGGACCAUCUCGUAAGGCUAAAUACUACUGUGUGACCGAUAGUGAACCAGUACCGCGAGGGAAAGGUGAAAAGAACCCCGGAAGGGGAGUGAAAUAGAACAUGAAACCGUAAGCUUACAAGCAGUGGGAGGACGAUUGAACGUCUGACCGCGUGCCUGUUGAAGAAUGAGCCGGCGACUUAUAGGCACUGGUAGGUUAAGGCGAGAAUGCCGGAGCCAAAGGGAAACCGAGUCUGAAAAGGGCGCUCAAUCAGUGUUUAUAGACCCGAACCCUGGUGAUCUAACCAUGGCCAGGAUGAAGCUUGGGUAACACCAAGUGGAGGUCCGAACCGACUGAUGUUGAAAAAUCAGCGGAUGAGCUGUGGUUAGGGGUGAAAUGCCAAUCGAACCAGGAGCUAGCUGGUUCUCCCCGAAAUGUGUUUAGGCGCAGCGGUAAUGAUUAAAUCUGGGGGGUAAAGCACUGUUUCGGUGCGGGCUGGGAGACCGGUACCAAAUCGAGACAAACUCAGAAUACCCAGAGAACACAUUGCCAGUGAGACAGUGGGGGAUAAGCUUCAUUGUCAAGAGGGAAACAGCCCAGACCACCAGCUAAGGUCCCCAAAUCAUCACUAAGUGAUAAAGGAGGUGGGAUUGCAUAGACAACUAGGAGGUUUGCCUAGAAGCAGCCAACCUUAAAAGAGUGCGUAAUAGCUCACUAGUCAAGCGAUCCUGCGCCGAAAAUGAACGGGGCUAAGUGAUGUACCGAAGCUGUGGGAUUAAUCUAGUAUUAAUCGGUAGGGGAGCGUUCCGUAUUAGGUAGAAGCAGUAGCGGCGAGCAGCUGUGGACGAAACGGAAGUGAGAAUGUCGGCUUGAGUAGCGCAAACAUUGGUGAGAAUCCAAUGCCCCGAAACCCUAAGGGUUCCUCCGCCAGGUUCGUCCACGGAGGGUUAGUCGGGUCCUAAGGCGAGGUCGAAGGGCGUAGUCGAUGGACACAGGGUGAAUAAUCCCUGACUACUAUGUGGGAGCAUUGCGAGGGACGCAUGAAAGAUAGCCAUACCCUGAUUGGUUUGGGAGGAGUUUACGAACUCCGCGUGGUGAAGGAUAGUGUCAAGAAAAGCUCGUAAUGUGAUGAAAACAUAGUACCCGUACCCGAAACCGACACAGGUAGGGAGGUUGAGAAUACCAAGGGGCGCGAGAUAACUCUCUCUAAGGAACUCGGCAAAAUGGCCCCGUAACUUCGGGAGAAGGGGUGCCCACCUCAGACGUGGGUCGCAGUGAAGAGAUCCAGGCGACUGUUUACCAAAAACACAGGUCUCCGCCAACUCGAAAGAGGACGUAUGGGGGCUGACGCCUGCCCAGUGCCGGAAGGUUAAGGAAGUUGGUCAGGGGUUCGCCUUGAAGCUGACGACCGAAGCCCCGGUGAACGGCGGCCGUAACUAUAACGGUCCUAAGGUAGCGAAAUUCCUUGUCGGGUAAGUUCCGACCCGCACGAAAGGCGUAACGAUCUGGAUGGUGUCUCAGAGAGAGACUCGGCGAAAUAGGAAUGUCUGUGAAGAUACGGACUGCCUGCACCUGGACAGAAAGACCCUAUGAAGCUUUACUGUAGCCUGGAAUUGUGUUCGGGCUUCGCUUGCGCAGGAUAGGUGGGAAGCGAAGAAGUAUCCCUUGUGGGGGAUAUGGAGCUAACGGUGAGAUACCACUCUGGCGAAGCUAGAAUUCUAACCCAUGACCGUAAGCCGGUCAGGGAACAGUUUCAGGUGGGCAGUUUGACUGGGGCGGUCGCCUCCUAAAAAGUAACGGAGGCGCGCAAAGGUUCUCUCAGCACGCUUGGAAACCGUGCGGCGAGUGUAAAGGCAAAAGAGAGCUUGACUGCGAGAGAUACAACUCAAGCAGGGACGAAAGUCGGCCUUAGUGAUCCGACGGCACAGCAUGGAAUGGCCGUCGCUCAACGGAUAAAAGUUACUCUAGGGAUAACAGGCUGAUCUCCCCCAAGAGUCCACAUCGACGGGGAGGUUUGGCACCUCGAUGUCGGCUCAUCGCAACCUGGGGCGGAAGUACGUCCCAAGGGUUGGGCUGUUCGCCCAUUAAAGCGGUACGUGAGCUGGGUUCAGAACGUCGUGAGACAGUUCGGUCCAUAUCCGGUGCAGGCGCAAGAGCAUUGAGAGGAGCCUUCCUUAGUACGAGAGGACCGGGAAGGACGCACCGCUGGUGUACCAGUUAUCGUACCAACGGUAAACGCUGGGUAGCCAAGUGCGGAGCGGAUAACCGCUGAAAGCAUCUAAGUGGGAAGCCCACCUCAAGAUGAGUGCUCUCACUACAUAAGUAGGUAAGGUCACGGGCAGAACACCCGUUUAUAGGCUCUAAGUGGAAGUACAGUAAUGUAUGAAGCUGAGGUGUACUAACAGACCGAGGGCUUGACCUC
rnacentral:rRNA from 1 species